rnacentral:rRNA from 1 species
GAACUGAAGAGUUUGAUCCUGGCUCAGAUUGAACGCUGGCGGCAUGCCUUACACAUGCAAGUCGAACGGUAACGCGGGGCAACCUGGCGACGAGUGGCGAACGGGUGAGUAAUGC